UACGUAGGGUCCAAGCGUUGUCCGGAUUUAUUGGGCGUAAAGAGCUCGUAGGCGGCUCAGUAAGUCGGAUGUGAAAACUCGGGGCUCAACCCCGAGACGCCACCUGAUACUGCUGUGGCUAGAGUCCGGUAGGGGAGCAUGGAAUUCCUGGUGUAGCGGUGAAAUGCGCAGAUAUCAGGAGGAACACCAGUGGCGAAGGCGGUGCUCUGGGCCGGUACUGACGCUGAGGAGCGAAAGCGUGGGGAGCAAACAGG
rnacentral:rRNA from 1 species